AAAUAAAAAGUAAUUAAAACUUAUGUCUAUUUUGGCCAUUAUAUAAUAAAACAACACAUUCGUAAUAAAAUUUACCAAACACAUACACUCUAUUUUUCAAACUCACAGCAACUGGAACAGCACAGUUUACCAAACGUCAAACUACUUUUUUAACCAGCAGCUUAUUUUAUCUGCACAACACAAGCAGCUUAUUUUAUCAGCCUCUGUAAUCCCAAACUGGCCCCAACUCUUUCCAACAUGAAAUAUCAACUAAUUAAUUUUAAAGUUUGUAGUUAACUAACUUUAACUACUUCUUCAAUGUUAAUAGUAAUUCAUAAUUUAAAAUUAAUAUUAAUUCAUAAUUUAAAAUUCCAAGUAUUCGAGUUAAUUCAAACUUAAAUCGUUGUUUACUACCACUAAGCCCAAAAAUUGGCUUGUUCAAUUUGUGUGCGCAAAAGUCCACAUGCUUGACUUGUCACAAAAAAUGAAUUUCUCAUUAUAAACCACCCCAGAAGUUUAUAUAUUUCCAAUGUAGGAUUUGGUGUCUUGAAAUACCCAUCACAUAAUCACAACACAUAAAAAGAGAUUUAAAAGGUAGAUAGUGGGGAAAUGAUAAGUUGGUAGGAGGAUAAAAAUUCUAGGGUUGCAUGCUGGUAUAUGGUUACAUGCAUGUCGUUUCAUUGGUGCGAUGGAUAUCUGCACAUAUGAAGUAUCAUAUUUAUAGUUUUUUUUUUAAUUUACCUAUCUAGCCACUUUCAUAAAUUCAUUAUCAACACUAAGUAUAUAACAAAUUGUUAUCAUAAUAACUAUAUAAGCCCAAUUUAGACUAAAUCAUGUUUAAAACAAACCAACCACAACUAAAUCUACGAGAAAAAAAAUAAAAUACAUCGUCCACAUUGCCCACAUCUAUUUGGCAUCGCCCACAUUGCUUCCAUCUAUUAUAUAGUUAUGCAUCACCCACAUUGCCAGUGACGUUCUUUGACGGAUAGACUUCCUUCUACAGCGGUGGCUUCCAUCACAGUUUUGAUCGAAUUUGAAGAACCAAUUUUGCUUAGCAUCACUUCAAGGUACUGUUUUGCUCAUGCACAAUUUACUUCAUGAUUUUGAUCCGAUUUAUUAUUUAAUUGCUCUUUAAAUUAUUUGUUCGAUCGAUUAAUAUGACAUAUAAGGAAUUAGAAUAUGUGUUGGACAUGAAAAUUUGAAUUUUUUUUUAAAUAACAUUUUGUAAAAUAUGGCAAUUAGAUGCUUGUUAAAAUGCUCUAAGAAGAUUUUUUCUAUUAUGAUAUUAAGUUUGUCGAGCAUGCCUAUAAUUAUAUAUUUCUUAGUACCAACAGCACCUACUAACACUACGAGAAAAAGAUAUAAUUAACACGCUAAUCGAGGCAAUGGGAUCCAUCGCCCAUGCUCAUGAGGCGAAGGAACAAUCCCAAAUGUGUUUUUUCUUAUUUUUAAAUAUUAUUCUAAUAUCUAUCAUAUUUAUGUUUCAAAUGUGUCCUAUAAUGAAAUGUGCCCUUGGACAGUAAAGAUAUCUAUCGUGGAUUACUUCCCAGGCGUCUUUACAAAUUUGACCAAAAUGAAAAAAAAAAUUAUUAGCGUUAUAUGGGGAAAGUUGACUGAUAAGUAAUGAAAGUUGUUCAAGAAGUAAAUAUUUGGGCCUUUCUUUUAACUAUUGAGAAUAUCAGAUUUAGUGGGAUCCUCCUGCACAACUUAUCGCUUAGACAAGUCAUGCAAGAAGUUGAUGAAUACCAAAUGAAGUUUCAUCUUGGCAACAAGUUGGUACAUUUCUUGAUUCGGGAAUGGUGUCUUGCUACAAGACUUAAGUGUGUUGAAUUAGAAGAUGGAAGAAAAAUAGGCAAUUUUUGGUGGAAAUGAUGACUUUCUCCUUGAAGAAUUAGACAAAAGGUUUGAAGCUUCUCAAUUUUAAUAAAAUCAAUGACAAUGAUUUAUUUAGAAUUGCCUUGUUAUUCUUUACGGAAUCAAUCAAUAAUUUUAUAUUUUAUGUCAUCAUGAAUUUGGGAAUGUUUUAGUAAUUUUUCUUAGGGAUUAUAUUUGUGAAAUAUUGUUUAUGAUCAAGUGAACAGAGUAUCAAAUAGGAAAGCUGAAAAUUUUAAUAAAAUGGAGCGAAUUAUACAAACAUGAGGCUUAAAAUUUCUCUAGUUUUUGUUACGGUGUGUAAGCACAUAAAAUAUAAAUAUAAAGUAACUAUAUGUAAAUAUAAUAUAAUGUAUUAGUUUUUCUUCCCUAUGCAAGCCUAUAUUUUUUAAGCAAUUGGAGGAAUUGCAUUAAAGUAUGCCACCCUAACAAAAAUAAAUUAUCUCUAAGACUAUACAAUAUUCAAAGCUACUAGAAAAUUUUACAACUACUGUAAGUGUUGCCAAAGUAUGUAACUUGGUGUAUACAUUUGUCUAUAAUUAUGCAAACUUAAUUUUUUCUAACACAAAGUCGAGUCAAAGCAAAUUUUGAAAAAAAAAUUGGUAAAGAGGGUAAAGAACCAUAUUAUCAAUCUAUGAGGAGAUACUACACUAUGAUUUGGACUUGGGUUGAUGAGGUGGGAAGAUUUUAAAAUAUAAAUUGAUUACUCACAGUGCAUUUGCUGAAAUGAAAAUUUGUAAAUUUCCUUGUGCAUUUUAAGCAACUUUUGGAAAAGCAAAAACAUAAUGAGACUAUAUUGCUAUCGGAUGACCACCAUUGAUCACCUAUAAAAAAAUUUAGGCCUCAAGACCCACCCCACAAUUUGAACAAAACAAAGGGCGUUGAUACGAUCGAGGUUAGAUUUAUUUGGCACUUUACAAUCGAUUUAUAGUAUAAAAUAAUUGAGGGAAUUUGCCACCAGAGUGUUUUUUUUUUUUGGUUUAUAGUUGAGGUCGAAGAAUGGUAUGAUUACAUUGUCUAUAAACUGAAUAAACUUUCGCUUGAUGUUGCUAAAAUCAAGACGAAAAUGGUCAAAAUCUCUGGCAAUGGUUGAAGAUUGGAAGGUGUUUGGUGAGGUGAAGACGAGAUUUGAUGAGAUGAGACUGUUUGCAAGACUGUUGUUUGGACCCAUAUCCUAUGUCAGUAAAUAUUCUAAGAGCAUUAUUGUAAAAAUAGAGAAAAAAAUUUAACAAUACAUAAGUAAUAAUGGGGGCAUUUUCUAAAAUAUGAAAAUUAAAUAUACAUUUAACUCAGAAAAUAAGGAUCAUUUUGAACAUUGUGCCCAUUAAUUUGACGUUAACUAUGGUGGUGUUAUAGAUUCAACCAAGGUUGACUCUGAGGUCAUGUUCAGUUGUCAGAAAAGAGGAGAGAUGAGAGGAGAGGAAAAGAGAGGAGGUGAAAGGAAAUGAGAAAAAAAGGGAGGGGAAUUUAAUUUCCUUUGUUCGAUUUAAGAUAAAAUUAGCAAAGGACAGAAAUUUUACAAUUUUUUAUUUGAACAAAUUUACCCUUGUAUUAUAUUUUUAAUAUUUAUUAUUAAAUUAAUUUAAAAACUACAAAUAUUUUAAUUACUUUAAAAGUAGCCUCAAGGUUAAUGUUUCAUUCUCUUUUAUUAAAAGUGCUUUUACCAAUUAUUAUCCAAGUGCUUUUAUCAAAUGUAUUUUUUAAAAAAUAUAAAACAUUAAUAUUAUUUCAAAAAUAGCCCAUAAUAUUACUAAAAAAAUAUUAAAUUUCAAAUGCUCAAAUGAAAUAAUAAAAAAUACUUAGCCAAAUUUCAAAAUAUGACUAUAACAUCUUCAAAUUUCAAAGGCAUUCUACAAUAUAAAAAUAUAAAAACAUAACGAAAAAUACUUAGUCAAAUUUCAAGUGCUUUUAUUUUCGAGCAACUGAACAUGGCCUAACAAUUUGGAAGUCUUAGGCGAACUUUUCUUGGAGGCUUUUCUACAUUAAACAACAUAAAUCUCAAAGAAAUAUUAAAUAGCUCAAAAUUUAAUUAUCUUUAAUAAUAUCUUGAAUUUCAACAAUUAUCAACAAGAUCCCAAAAAAAUAAAGAAUAAUAAAAAGAUAUCUAUUUAUUUUUAGAUAAACACUAACUAAGUUCAUCAUGUUUAUUAAAUUUGAUUCAAUUAUCAACACCUAGGCUACUUAACUCACAAACUUCAUAGCUAAUUCAAGCCAUAUAUCAAUACAAAAAAUAAAAAAAAUGCAAGAAAAUUAAGAAAGAAGAUUAAUUAUAUUUUAAAUUGAAUAAUUAGAAUGAUAGCACAUAAAAAGUUGCUUGUUUAAAUGAAUAUGAUGGUCAAAUAUCAGAUGAUGGUAAUGAACUUUAUAGAGAUGAUCAGAAGAAUUUUCUUUGUUUUGAAAUUUAAAAUAGAAUUAAUAGAAUACUAAAAGUUUUGAAAUUUAAAAUAGAAUUAAUAGAAUACUAAAAGUUCAAAACUAAUCUUGAUUCAAUAUCUAUUAGUUUUGAAAUUUAAAAUAGAAUUAAUAGAAUACUAAAAGUUUUAAAAUCUAAAUUAAGCAUUUUAUGUAUGUGCUUACUUCCCAUGAAUGCAAAUCAAUGAAUCAGAAUGCGUUUCAUUACCAUGUUUAUUUUUUAAAAUAAGAUCACAAAUCAGAAUGAGAAUAAUAGGUCCACAAAAAAUUGGAAAUGAAACAUGGGGUUAUGAUUCCUGUGGGGGGUUGGGAAUCAGAACCCCUUACAUUAAAGAGACGAAAUUGCCCCCAAUGAAUUUUGAUAAUUCUAAUUUU
rnacentral:lncRNA from 1 species